CUACGGGGGGCUCCAGUGGGGAAUAUUGGACAAUGGGGGAAACCCUGAUCCAGCAAUGCCGCGUGUGUGAAGAAGGCCUGCGGGUUGUAAAGCACUUUCGGUUGGGAGGACUGCUUCUAGCACUAAUAUUGUUGGAAGUUGACGUUACCUUCAGAAGAAGCACCGGCUAACUCCGUGCCAGCAGCCGCGGUAAUACGGAGGGUGCAAGCGUUAAUCGGAAUUACUGGGCGUAAAGCGCGCGUAGGCGGCUAGAUCAGUCGGGUGUGAAAGCCCCGGGCUUAACCUGGGAACUGCAUCCGAUACUGUCUAGCUUGAGUACAGGAGAGGAGAGUGGAAUUCCACAUGUAGCGGUGACAUGCGUAGAUAUGUGGAGGAACACCAAUGGCGAAGGCAGCUCUCUGGCCUGAUACUGACGCUGAGGUGCGAAAGCGUAGGGAGCAAACAGGAUUAGAUACCCCAGUAGUC
rnacentral:rRNA from 1 species